rnacentral:lncRNA from 1 species
AUGAAGGUGAAAUGGAAGAAAAGGUCAGAAAUGAAACAAGAGGGUCUAAAGUCAAGAUAUGGGAGAAGAGAAAAGGUACUUCAAGCUAGUCAGUUUGUUCAUAUUUUCCAGAAGUGUAUAGUCUUCACUGGUGGCUCUCAGCUCACCUGUCAGGUACGUGGCCAUUUUGGAGAACAUGUUCUGGCACAGCCCUGUAACAGCUUCCUUGGCCAUCUCUACCAUGGCAUCAUCUAGGCCUGGGAAGGGAGGAAGGAGAAAAGAUGGAGGGAAGGAUGGGCAUGGGGGAGGAGGGGGAGAGGAAGAGGAAGAGAAAGGGAGAGGAUAGGAGGAAAAGGGAGAGGAGGGGAAGGAAGGGAAGAAAAAAGGAAGGAGGAAUAGAUCAUUUUUAUGAGAGCAGUUGGACAAGGGACCUUUGACUCACCACCCCCCCAGCCCAGUUAAUGAAAUUAGAGAAGAUAUUGGGGCAAGUAAGAGAGAUAACAAGGUAUUAGGAUCUUAAAUGAAGUAUUAAAAAAGCUUAUACUUUGUUACCCCUUUAUGAAAUGGAAAGAUGUUUUCUGAUCAAAAUGGAUUAAAUUAGAGUGAUUGGUUAUACUUGGUGGAUCUUUUAAAAAGUGGAACAGACUCUAUAGGGAUCCAGGUGAGUUAAUGUAGGAGAGAACCCAGAAGACUCAAGAAGAGAGCCAGCCAUUGAGAAGGAGUUAUUCCUCACCUCUUACAUGAGGGGAGGAGAUUUUAUUCUCUUUCCUUCCACCCACUUUUGUCUAUGGUGUUUCUCUUGCAGUAGACUUUCUUGAAGGAGACACUACACCCAGCAUGGAGCAGGCCCAAUGAGUCAAGGCGCAAGAACAGUGAAGCUUUGGGACUUGAAGUAGGACAUAGCUCUGGGAGGAAUACCUAUGAGUUGAAAAGUGAGCUAGCCCUGCCUAUUUUGCUGAUGAGAAAUUGAAGCAAACAAUGGUUAAGUGACUUACCCAGGCUCACACAGCUAGUAAGUGAGGCUGGAUUUGAACUCAUAAGGAUGUGUCCUCCUGAUUCCAGGCCUAGCGCCUAUCUACCACCUAGCUGUGCAUAAAUGAACUGGAGAAGGAAAUGGCACACCACUCAGUAUCUUUGCCAAGAAAACCCCAAGACAGAUAUAUUUCUUUUUUUUAUUUUUUUUUUCCAUAUGCUUUUGAGUUGAAAAUUUUUCUCCCUUUUCCUCCCCCCCACCCUCCCCAAGACGGCGCACAAUCUGAUAUAGGCUUUACAUUUACAUAUCCAUUAAACAUAUUUUAACAUCAGUGAAGUUGUAAGUACAAAUAAAACCAAUGGGAGGAACCA